GAUGAACGCUGGCGGCGUGCCUAAUACAUGCAAGUCGAGCGAACGGACGAGAAGCUUGCUUUUCUGAUGUUAGCGGCGGACGGGUGAGUAACACGUGGAUAACCUACCUAUAAGACUGGGAUAACUUCGGGAAACCGGAGCUAAUACCGGCUAAUAUUUUGAACCGAAUGGUUCAAAAGUGAAAGACGGUCUUGCUGUCACUUAUAGAUGGAUCCGCGCUGCAUUAGCUAGUUGGUAAGGUAACGGCUUACCAAGGCAACGAUGCAUAGCCGACCUGAGAGGAUGAGCGGCGACACUAGAAGUAAGACACGGUCCAGACUCCAACGGGAGGCAGCAGUAGGGAAUCUUCCGCAAUGGACGAAAGCCUGACGGUGCAACGCCGCGUGAAUGAUGAAGGACUUCGGAUCGUGAAACUCUGUUAUUAGGGAAGAACAUAUGUGUAAGUACCUGUGCACAUCUUGACGGUACCUAAGCAGAAAGCCACGGCUAAAUACGUG
rnacentral:rRNA from 1 species